rnacentral:rRNA from 1 species
AACGUAGGUGGCGAGCGUUAUCCGGAUUUACUGGGCGUAAAGGGUGUGCAGGCGGGCUGUUAAGUGGUGCAUGAAAUCUCCUGGCUCAACCGGGAGGGGCUGUGCCAGACUGGCAGUCUGGAGUAUGAGAGAGGGUUGUGGAAUUCCGGGUGUAGUGGUGAAAUGCGUAGAGAUCCGGAGGAACACCAGAGGCGAAGGCGGCAACCUGGCUCAUAACUGACGCUGAGACACGACAGCAUGGGGAGCGAACGGG